UCUCGUUUUGUUUAACUUGGUGGGCAAACUCUUUUAUCACGGUGGAGUCGACUCUUUCCACGUCUCGCGAGGCCGUGGCGUCACCAGUGGGGUACGAGGGCGAGCACGAGCGCGGGAAGUGAAGACACGCACCUGUUCGGCACAAGGUCACGUGUGUCAAAUUUUAGACGCGAAUUGCAGCAUAGGUUUUGUGAAAUGAGUGGCUGAUAAAAUAUUACAAAAUCCUGGGACAGUCUCUGCCUGAAAGGUGAUGAUGUCAUACUAAGAAGAGUGCCAAAAGUAAGCGGCCAGCAUUGAGUACCAUUAUAAACAACAAAAUGGCAUUAUCCAUGAAAACAACAUCCAAAAUGGUGGCACCAUGAGAAAACAGCCAUACAAAAUAACAAUACAAUGACAUCAC